rnacentral:rRNA from 1 species
GAUGAACGCUGGCGGCGUGCCUAAUACAUGCAAGUCGAGCGAACAGACGAGGCGCUUGCUCCUCUGACGUUAGCGGCGGACGGGUGAGUAACACGUGGAUAACCUACCUAUAAGACUGGGAUAACUUCGGGAAACCGGAGCUAAUACCGGAUAAUAUAUUGAACCGCAUGGUUCAAUAGUGAAAUACGGUUUUGCUGUCACGUAUAGAUGGAUCCGCGCCGCAUUAGCUAGUUGGUAAGGUAACGGCUUACCAAGGCAACGAUGCGUAGCCGACCUGAUAGGGUGAUCGGCCACACUGGAACUUGGACACGGUCCAGAGUCCUACGGGAGGGCGCAGUCUGGAAUCUUCCGCAAAGGGCGAAAGCCUGACGGAGCAACGCCGCGUGAGUGAUGAAGGUCUUCCGAUCGUAAAACUCUGUUAUUAGGGAAGAACAAAUGUGUAAGUAACUAUGCACGGCUUGACGGUACCUAAUCAGAAAGCCACGGCUAACUACGUG